UACGUAGGAGGCAAGCGUUGUCCGGAGUUACUGGGCGUAAAGCGUGUGCAGGCGGCAGGUAGCGUCUGCGGUGAAAUCUCCCGGCUUAACUGGGAGGGGGCCGUGGAAACGGGCUUGCUUGAGGGCUGGAGAGGGAAGUAGAACUCCCGGUGGACCAGUGAAAUGGGUAGAGAUCGGGAAGAAUACCCGAGGUGAAGACGGCUUCCUGGCCAGCAACUGACGCUCAGACACGAAAGCGUGGGGAGCAAACAGG
rnacentral:rRNA from 1 species